AUGUGGAUGCGGAUGCGGGUGUGGAUGUGGAUGGGGGCUUGGCUGAGGGGGCGCAGCACUCUCCUGCGGCUUCACCGGGACAGGGGCGGGAGCAGCAUUGGUGAAGACAUCAACAAGCAGCUGCUGAGGUUGCGGCGGAGCAGCAAAAGCCGAUCUGGCGGCGUCGUAGGAGCAGGUGGAGGUGGGGGAGACAGCAGUCGGGGAGCCCCCGCCGCCGCCGCCGCCCCCUCCCCCUCCCCCUCCCCCUCCUCCAGAGGAAGGCACGGCCGGGGUAGGAGGGGGAGGCCCGCCGUCGGAGCACUGGGUGGACGACAGGCUGGCGAUGCUGUCCUUGCGCACAAUGCCGUUGACGGCCUCGAGGUACCUGAGGCCGGCGUCGAAGCCGGCGGCGCCCUCGCCUCCCUCGUCCCCGGGCGCGGCCGCCUCCGAGACGGGGAAGAUGAAGACCCGCAGCUUGGGGCUGGCGACGGCCAGCUUGUCGUACUCCUCCACCAUGUUGUCGAGAUCCUCGGGCGAGGAGACCGAGAUGAGCGCGUCGAGGCCCUCGUCGGGGAGCUGGUACUUGACCGCGAAGUGCGGGCCCGUGGCGCCGCCGUAGGCGUCGGCGAGGCGGGCCAGCAGGUCCUGCAGCGCCACCCCGCGCGGCACGGACACGAUCCGGGUGUCGCCGCCGGCGUACCGCAGCGUCCCGUCCCCGGGCCGCGGCAGGAUGCGCCCGCCGAGGCUGCACAGCAGCUUCAUCCGCUCCCCUCCUCCUCCCCCGCCCCCGCCGCCGCCGUCCUCGGCCAUCCCGCCGCGGCGGCGCGGGUCCGCCCCCACUCCCCUCCCCCCUCCCCUCCUUCCCCGGAUCUAACCCCGCAGGGCUCGGGCCGGGCCACAAACCAAACCCCCUCACCUCCACACCACCAGGAACCCUACCGCCGGCCGGAUUCGGGGACUCCGGCGGCGGCGGGCGGCUCAAUGCUCAGUCAAUUGAAAUUUUUUUCCGGGGGAGGGGAGUGGGGAGCGGGGGCGGGGGGUGGGGGGUGGGAGGGGUGCGUUCUACUCAAAAACCCUUGGCUCGCUCGCUCGCUCGCUCUCCCCGGCUGCUGCCUGCCUGGCUGGCUCGGCGUUGGUGUUGGCGUUGGUGUCCCCCUCGCCCCGGUUUUAUAUAUUUUCCGGGCCUUGGAUUUUCCCGUGCCGGAAUUUGGAGCCUUCCCUUUGGUUUUCCGUGUGGUUCUCCCCCCCGCCCCCUUUCUGUUUGCCUUUGGGCUUUGGAGCAUUGGCAAAACCUUGGGUUUGGGUUUUGAAUCUGUGGGUCUGUUGCGGAAGAGGCCAUUCGUGUUGGUGGAAUUCGGCCGGGCGCCCCACCUUCCGGUUUGUUAG
rnacentral:rRNA from 1 species